rfam:Schistosoma mansoni strain Puerto Rico chromosome W, complete genome
AGCCUUCUGUAUCCGUGCUGAGAUUUCGUCACACAUGGGCUGAUGAGACUCCCAAGUUAUGUGAAGCG